rnacentral:rRNA from 1 species
AUACGAACCGUGCGAACGUUGUUCGGAAUCACUGGGCUUAAAGGGUGCGUAGGCGGGGUGGCAAGUCCGUGGUGAAAUCCUCCGGCUCAACCGGAGAACUGCCGUGGAUACUGCUACUCUCGAGGGGUGUAGGGGCAUGUGGAACUCAGGGUGGAGCGGUGAAAUGCGUAGAUAUCCUGAGGAACGCCGGUGGCGAAAGCGACGUGCUGGACACCUACUGACGCUGAGGCACGAAAGCCAGGGGAGCGAACGGGAUUAGAUACCCCGGUAGUCCUGGCCCUAAACGAUGGGUACUAGAUUGUGGGCUGGACAUGGGCCACAGUCGAAGCAAAAGUGAUAAGUACCCCGCCUGGGGAGUAUGGUCGCAAGGCUGAAAC